UACGGGGGGGGCAAGCGUUGUUCGGAAUUACUGGGCGUAAAGGGCUCGUAGGCGGCCAACUAAGUCAGACGUGAAAUCCCUCGGCUUAACCGGGGAACUGCGUCUGAUACUGGAUGGCUUGAGUUCGGGAGAGGGAUGCGGAAUUCCAGGUGUAGCGGUGAAAUGCGUAGAGAUCGGGAGGAACAUCAGUUGCGAAGGCGGCUCUCUGGACCAGCACUGACACUGAGGCACGAAAGCGUGGGGAGCAAACAGG
rnacentral:rRNA from 1 species